AGGCAUUUUUGCCGUACGAAAGUGUUAUCAAAGACGUGUCAUUACUAUAAUAUGCUUGAACAAGAUGAUUCCUGUACAAAAGAGUUGGCAUCGGAGAUUUUGGAUAUUGAGGAUCUUGUUCGACUUGGGAAGAAAGAAAGUCGCUGUCCUUAUUUCAUCUGUGAAAAAUUCCAUUUGUGAAAAAUGCUGACAUUGUAUUCAUGCCGUACAAUUAUUUAAUCGAUACAAAG